rnacentral:rRNA from 1 species
CCCGCUGAACUUAAGCAUAUCAAUAAGCGGAGGAAAAGAAACUAACAAGGAUUCCCCUAGUAACGGCGAGUGAAGAGGGAAGAGCUCAAAUUUUGAAUCUGGCGUCUUCGGCGUCCGAAUUGUAAUCUAGAGAAGUGUUUUCCGUGACGGACCGUGCAUAAGUCUCCUGGAAUGGAGUGUCAUAGAGGGUGAGAAUCCCGUAUAUGGCACGGACUCCCGUUGCUCUGUGAUACACUCUCGACGAGUCGAGUUGUUUGGGAAUGCAGCUCUAAAUGGAUGGUAAAUGCCAUCUAAAGCUAAAUAUUGGCGAGAGACCGAUAGCGAACAAGUACCGUGAGGGAAAGAUGAAAAGCACUUUGGAAAGAGAGUGAAACAGUACGUGAAAUUGUUGAAAGGGAAACGCUUGAAGUCAGUCGCGCCGUUCGGGAUUCAGCCUUGCUUCUGCUCGGUUUACUUCCUGUUGGGUGGGUCAACAUCAGUUUCGGUCGGAGGAGAAAGGCUUGGGGAAGGUGGCAGCAUUCGUGCUGUGUUAUAGCCCCUUGUUGUAUACUUCGACUGGGACUGAGGACCGCAGCACGCCUUUGGCCGGGGUUCGCCCACGUACGUGCUUAGGAUGUUGGCAUAAUGGCUUUAAGCGACCCGUCUUGAAACACGG